rnacentral:rRNA from 1 species
GACGAACGCUGGCGGCGUGCUUAACACAUGCAAGUCGAACGGAAAGGCCCUGCUUUUGUGGGGUGCUCGAGUGGCGAACGGGUGAGUAACACGUGAGUAACCUGCCCUUGACUUUGGGAUAACUUCAGGAAACUGGGGCUAAUACCGGAUAGGAGCUCCUGCUGCAUGGUGGGGGUUGGAAAGUUUCGGCGGUUGGGGAUGGACUCGCGGCUUAUCAGCUGGGUGGUGGGGUAGUGGCUUACCAAGGCUUUGACGGGUAGCCGGCCUUGGAGGGUGACCGGCCACAUUGGGACUGAGAUACGGCCCAGACUCCUACGAGAGGCAGCAGUGGGGAAUAUUGCACAAUGGGCGGAAGCCUGAUGCAGCAACGCCGCGUGCGGGAUGACGGCCUUCGGGUUGUAAACCGCUUUCGCCUGUGACGAAGCGUGAGUGACGGUAAUGGGUAAAGAAGCACCGGCUAACUACGUG